CCGGUAGCUCGUCAGGCUCAUAACCUGAAGGCCGCAGGUUCAAAUCCUGCCCCCGCAA
rnacentral:tRNA from 1 species